AGAUAGAGUUUGAUCCUGGCUCAGAUUGAACGCUGGCGGCAUGCCUUACACAUGCAAGUCGAACGGCAGCACGGGGGCAACCCUGGUGGCGAGUGGCGAACGGGUGAGUAAUGCAUCGGAACGUGCCCUGAAGUGGGGGAUAACGUAGCGAAAGUUACGCUAAUACCGCAUAUUCUGUGAGCAGGAAAGCAGGGGAUCUUCGGACCUUGUGCUUUAGGAGCGGCCGAUGUCGGAUUAGCUAGUUGGUGAGGUAAAGGCUCACCAAGGCGACGAUCCGUAGCGGGUCUGAGAGGAUGAUCCGCCACACUGGGACUGAGACACGGCCCAGACUCCUACGGGAGGCAGCAGUGGGGAAUUUUGGACAAUGGGCGCAAGCCUGAUCCAGCCAUGCCGCGUGAGUGAAGACGGCCUGCCGGUUGUCANGCUCUUUCNGCNNNGAAGAAAUGCGGU
rnacentral:rRNA from 1 species